GGCGCCCCACCGGGUGGGCCUGGGGCGCGACGUCCGCCGGUAGGCUUGCCUGGGCGGCGCAUGCGUGCUACCGGUGCUGGUGGAGGAGGGGAAGGAAAGGGAGGGGGAGGAGGAGCGGGAGGCAGUCGCGGGGAAUUGUUUGGGGGUGGGUGGGGGGCGCCGCUCAGCUCCAGGUACUGCCUGAGCUGGGAGCCACGGCGUCUUCCGGGCGCAGCCGGGUUAGCUGUUCCGAGUCACCGCAGCUAGGCUCCAGGGUGGGGGAGGGAAGAAGCCGGAGCCGCCGCAAGCCGCAAGUGAAGGAAAAGCCCAAGAAUUAAAGAAACUUUUACAGUAAUUGUUGAUGUGGCUAUUAUGCUGAUCCCCCGAAUCAAAAAAAGGAGGGCCCCUGAUGGUCAGUUGAUCAAUUCAUCCAUUCAUAGGGAGGCUGGCAGUUUUCCCUCAGGCCUUUGCAAAAGCCCCCUGAAAGGAUCAUCCUCCACAGGACUUUGACUCACCUUCCUUCCCAGGAGUCAACCUCUAAGACCCUUGAGGCUAGGGGACUGGGAAGAGCUUCAGAAUGGCUAAUAUAUUGCAGUCAAGUGCUGCUGAAACUUAGAAGCUGAUUUUGUCACAGUGUAAGAUGCCUUUGGAAAAUUCUGCAUUCCUCUUAGAUGAAUCUUUACAACUUGUGCAUAAAUACUGAGUGUCAUUUUGAUGAAAUUUUAUGAAGUCAACACUCGUUUAACCAAUACCAAGAUCAAGAUAUAGAACAUUUUCAUCAAUCCAGGAGCCUCCUUCAUGCCCCCUGACAGUCAUCACGCACUCCCAAAGGUAACUAUUAUUCUUGCUUGAUUCACUAUUCAUUAGUAUUGUCUAUUUUUGAACUUCUUUUGGCUUUUUAUGGUCAACAUCUUGUUGAUGUGUGUCAUUCAUAUUGAUUCAUACAGCAGUAGCUCAUCCUUUUUCAUUGCUUUGUAAUACUUCAUUAUAUGUAUAUACCAAAAUUAUUCAUCCAUUGUACUGUUGAUGAGCAUUUGGUUUACUAUCAGUUUUUGGCUGUUAUGAACAAUUCCACUGUGAACAUUUUUGAACAUUUCUUUUGGCACAUAUGUAUGCAUUUCUGUUGGAUAAAUAUCCAGUGGUGAAAAUGCUGGGUCAGGGUAUUUGGCUGUUUAGCUUUUGUAGAUGCUCCUAAUGGUUGAAUCAGUUUACACUUCCACCAACAGUGUACAUGAAUUCUUGUUGCUCUUCAUCCUCAAUAACACUUGAAAUUAUUAGUGUUUCAAAUUAAUAACUCUUCUGCAGUGUAUGUAGUGAAAUUUUAUUGUAGUUUUGUUAUUCCCUGAUAACUUAAAAGGUUAUCACAUGUUUACAUGCUUACUGACCCUUUGGAUAUCCUUUUCUGAGAAAUGCCUGUUCAUGUUAUUUGUCCAUUUUUCUAUUGUGUUGUCUGUCUUACGGAUUUGCAGAAGUUCUUUAUUUCUAGGAUAAGUUUUUGUUGGAUUAGGUAUUGAAGUUAUCUCUUCUACUUCUUCACUCUUUCAGUAGUGUGUCUUAAUUAAGAUAAUUUCUUAAUUUUAAUGAAGUCUAUUUUAUCAGAGUGUUCUUUUAUGGUUAGUUUUGUGUGUUUUAAGGAUUCUUUGUCUAUCUCAAAGCCAAGAAGAUACUGUGCUAUGUUUUCCUCUAUAAACUUGAGUGUUUUAACUUUCACAUUUAGGUUUCUGCAUGAUGUGUGGUAGGAUUCAUGGUUUAUUUUAUUUUCCAUUUGGAAAUCCAUUUGGUCCAGCAUUAUUUAUUGAAAAGACUGUCCUUUCCUACUGUAAUGCAGUAGUAGUGCCUUUGUUGUAAUUCAGGUGACUUUAUUUGUGGGUCUGUUUUUGGACUCUGUUUCUGUUCCAUUGGUCUGUUGUUGUACCAGUGCCAUACACUUUUAGUUAUUAUAGCUUUAAGUUCUCCAACUUUUGUACUUCAAAAUUGCUUUGGUUCUUCUUGGUCCUUAUGAAUUUCAAUAAAGAUUUUACACUCAGCCUGUCAGCUUCCUAAAUGAGUAAAUAAAUAAC